rnacentral:snRNA from 1 species
GUGCUCAUUUCAGCAGCACAUGCCCAGAAAAUGGAACAAUACAGAGGAGAUUAUCAGGGCUCCAUGCGAAUUCAUGAAGUGUUCCAUUUUUUG